CUUUACUGUAACUUGAAAUUGGAAUUGGACUUUGCUUGCGCAGUAUAGGUGGGAAGCGUUGAAGAUACUCUUGCGGGACUAUUGGAGCUAUCAGUGAGAUACCACUCUUGUAAUGUUAGAUUUCUAACUUUGAACCAUAUCUGGUCAAAGAACAGUUUCAGGCGGGCAGUUUGACUGGGGCGGUCGCCUCCUAAAUGGUAACGGAGGCGUACAAAGGUUUCCUCUGAACGGAUAGAAAUCGUAUCUAGAGUGUAAAGGCAUAAGGAAGCUUGACUGUGAGACCUACAAGUCGAGCAGGGACGAAAGUCGGUCUUAGUGAUCUGACGGUACUGAGUGGAAAGGCCGUCACUCAACGGAUAAAAGUUA
rnacentral:rRNA from 1 species